GGGUCAGUAGGUUGGUCGUGCCACCGGUACGUACUGGUCUCACUGAUUCCUCCUUCCUGAAGAACCGUAAUGCCAUCAGUUUGGUGUUGCGGGGAAACAGGACUGUUACUUUGAAAAAAUUAGAGUGUUUAAAGCAAGCUAACGCUUGAAUACAUUAGCAUGCAAUAAUGAAAUAGGACGAUCGAUCCUAUUUUGUUGGUUUCUAGGCUUGACGUA
rnacentral:rRNA from 1 species